CGGGGGGGGGCGGUGACUGUGCCAGAGCUGACCCUUCCAGGGGUCAGCAUUCAGCAUUCAGAUUGGUCUCUUGCAGCCUCGAGAAUCCUAAUCAUGCAGCGGCAGCUUGGGUAGGCCCUUCCCAUUGAUUCCUGGCCCUGGUGGUCUCCCCAGCCUCCAACAGGAACUAACCCAGCUCCUGGCACCUCAGAAACAUUCAGGAAACUCCACUCAUGUGACACUUCUCUGUAAAGGAUCUGCGCUUUGCCUCCCACCUGGACGGGUGAACAAUUCCCAGUUGGCCUCUCUUCCCCUUAGCCUCCGUGCCACGGAGCCAGAGUGAUCCAUCCGAAUGGCCACCCUCGUGUUCACUUUGCUGGAGACAGCCUUGGCAUCUGAUUUUGAAGCUCUACUCAUUAAAGAAUCUGGGCUGGCCUCUUCACUUGCUUUGCCACUAAAAUAUGGCAGAAGUGAUGUUGUGUUUCUAGAGACCGUGCCUACGUGCUGAACCCCCAUCACUGCCAUGGGAAUGAGCCCAGGCCAGUCUGCUGGGAAUGAGACACCCCACAGAGGGGAGCCAAGCCGGCCAAGGCCAACGAGGACCAGCCCACCUGACCCUCAGCUGCCGACACGUGGGUGAGCCCGAUCAAGUUCAGCUGAGACCGCCCAGGUUGGCGGGACUUCCCAGGUGGUCCACAGACUCAUCAACCAGAUACAUGGCUAUUGUUUUACAUUUUGCGGGUGGUGUGUCACCCAGCAAUUACCUCCAGAUACAACACGUAACACCCAAGUAUGAUCGCAUCACUCCACCGACUUCAACCUUUUCAAUAGCUCCUCAUUGCCCUCUGGAAAAAGUUCCAUCCCCCUCUCCAGCUUGGGAGGGCCCUCCUCAUCUAUAUUUUACUUUUUGCAGCGGCCCUUCCACGUGGAAAUUUCUACCGCAUAUCUCUGGAGUUUUCCUUGCGUCCACGCUGUCACUUUCGCUAGUCUCAUGACCUGGAAUUUUCCCGACUCAGCUCAGGUGCCACCUCUCAUGGGAGCCCCUCUCCGAUCUCCCAGGUGGGGUUCCAUGCAUGAUUUCUCUGUCAGGUUCUGAGAUGGCCUUGUCUCAGUCCCCUCUGUCAAUGCAACUAUCUACUGAGGACCAGCCAUGUGCCAGAAGCUCAUCUAGAUACAGGAGAGAGAAAUAGAAGUGGUGGCUGCCUUCUGUCCCCAGGCCAGUGGUCUCCUGAAAGAUCAUUUCAACAACUUGUGGCAAGGUUGGUGAGAUGGGAGCAUGAGAACCAUACGCUACGGAUGGAAUAGAAAACUAGAAGCAGUCCAAAUCCUUGAUGGCUUUCUUAAGUGUCUUCAGAGCUACCGCAGGCUUCUGGGCACGUCCAGGCAGAGACCCGCUCAGAAGCUCUUCUCUGCGACCAAAGAUGCUUCUCGUCUUCUUCCUGCUGAGGAACACACCUCUCCCUGGCCCACUGCCUACUGGACACAAGAGAAUGAUAAAACCUCAUCUGUUCAGGGACCAUAGUUAGAUGCCUGUUACACUUGUUAUCCUAACCUUUAGAGGAGAUGGAUAGGGAGCCCAAGGGAACCUGUAUCUGACAUAAAGAAACAAAGAGCAUGAGGUUAGGGUAUAGCUAGCUUCUCUGGGAGAUAGGGAACCUCUGUUCAAGGUGAACUUUCUCACGGUGGUGUCCUAGUGCAAGUCAUUUGUUUCUGAGCACACUGGAGGCACUUAAAUAUGUAUAUAUUCACAUGCAUGUUUGUGUUACAUGCAUGUUACAUGUAAAUACAUGUAUACAUUUAAGUAUGCAUGAAAAUGCAUACAUAUUUAAGUAUGUUAGUUUGUAUACAAACAUAUGUAACACAUGCAUGUAAACUAUCUAUGGGUGUACGGAUUAUAGAUUGUUUGUGAUGAAGAGAGUGUUGGAACUAGUUGAGGACCCACGAUCCUACCAGCUGGACAGAGUUAUGCCUGCAUGGCCAGGGACCAUGGGACCAUGGCCAGGGACCAGGGACGAUGGCAGAUCAGAGCGCUUAAGAACACAGACUCCCUGGGUUCAAACCCCAGUGUCGCCAACGAGUACAUUGUUUCAACUCUGUGUCUCAGUGUCCGCCAUUUGUGCACGGGGGAUAAUAACACUGCCUCAUGGUUUCAUCAGGAGAAUUCAGUGAGAUGAAAUUUGCAAAGCACUUGGAACAGUAACUGGCACUGGGUAAGCCACUGCGUUGGCUCAUUAAAUGUCAGCGCAGUGCGUCUGGCCUUGUCCAA